UACGGGGUGGGCGAGCGUUGCCCGGAAUUACUGGGUUUAAAGGGGGUGUAGGCGGUCCGGAGAGUCAGGUGUGUAAUCCAACCGCUCAACGGUUGGGCUGCACCUGAUACUUCCGGGCUAGAGGGCGGUAGAGGAGAGCGGAACUCCCGGUGUAGCGGUGAAAUGCGUAGAUAUCGGGAGGAACGCCGGUGGCGAAGGCGGCUCUCUGGGCCGUUCCUGACGCUGAGGCCCGAAAGCUGGGGGAGCGAAAGGGAUUAGAUACCCCUGUAGUCCCAGCUGUAAACGAUGGGCACUAGGUGUUCCCCCGCGAGGGGAGUGCCGACGGGAAACCAUUAAGUGCCCCACCUGGGGAGUACGCCCGCAAGGUGAAACUCAAAGGAAUUGACGGGGGCCCGCACAAGCGGUGGAGCGCGUGGUUUAAUUCGACGCUAAGCGAAGAACCUUACCUGGGCUUGACAUGCUGGUGGUACCCUGGUGGAAACACUGGGGGACUCCCCGUUGAGGGGAGAGCCAGCACAGGUGCUGCACGGCUGUCGUCAGCUCGUGCCGUGAGGUGUUGGGUUAAGUCCCGCAACGAGCGCAACCCCUGCCCUUAGUUGCCACAGCAUCCAUGAGGUGGCUGGGCAUUCUAAGGGGACUGCCGCCGAUGAGGCGGAGGAAGGUGGGGAUGACGUCAAGUCCGUGUGGCCUUUAUGUCCAGGGCUACACACGCGCUACAAUGGGUGGUACAAUGGGCUUUGCGACCCCGCGAGGGGAAGCGAAUCCCAGAAAACCACCCCCAGUUCGGAUUGGGGUCUGCAACCCGACCCCAUGAAGACGGAAUCGCUAGUAAUCGCCUAUCAGCAUGGGGCGGUGAAUACGUUCCCGGGUCUUGUACACACCGCCCGUCAC
rnacentral:rRNA from 1 species